rnacentral:tRNA from 6 species
AGGAUGUUCGUAUAGUUGGCCUAUUACACCGGACUCUGAAUCCGGUUACGAUGGUUCGAAUCCAUCACGUCCUGCCA